GGAGAACUCCAAUGGCAUCUGUGUCAGCACCCCCACACCAGGCCACAACAAUGGCCGCCGCCAAUGUCCCAGUCCCUGGAGAGGUCUCACCUCUCACCGAGAUGCACUCAGGGCCUAUCAGUGGCAUUGGCUCCAUCCAUUGAACAGAUGAGGAGCCCAAGACACAUAAGAUGGAGAGCCUGAAGAUUUUGCACUAAUUGAAAGAGACCUUCAGGCCUUUGUUUUGCGAGUAGAAUGGCAGAUGGCGUGGAAUGCAGGGAUAUGUAUGAGAAGAAAGAAAGAAAAAUUGACAUGGAAUGGAUCUCUCAUCAUAUGAGACUGUUCUGCCUGGUUUUUUUGAUUCAGAGCUUCGAGGCAAAAUGUCAAGUCAUCUGCAGCCAGUCACUUUCCGUAAUUUUCCUGUUUAUUCCACUGAGUGCUAUAAAGUAUGUUCUCAAGGCAGGUCCUACCAGUGUGCCAUAUGGCAGCCUCCUGUAUCAGCCCUGUCACCAAGCCCUCCAGGAAACGAGGCACUGUAUUGUUCUCAGGACACAAACAGCCCCACAGUUAGACAGAAACCCUUGCUUCUUUCCAAAUUGCUGACUGCCAGACAUCAAAGAAUUUCACCAAAAAGUUAAUAGUGAGGAGAAUUGGGGAUAUUAUUGAACCUCAUGUUAGGAACACAGGCCAUCAUUCAUUAAUUUAUUUCACGAGAUUAACUGAGCCCUAACUUUGUGCCAGGAACUGUUCUAGGUGAAGGCAAUAUAAAAGUAAAAAAAAAAAAAAAAACACAAACAUUACAAAAAAAAAAAUAAAGAAGUAAAGAAAUUAUCAAGAUACUUUUGAUAGAGGUAAGCAAAGAACUGAAGUUAGGUGAUGUGGUGAGAGGCUGAUGGGACACUUUAGAGAGUAGGCUGGGAAUGACCAAUCUGAGGAAGUCGUAUUAAAGCUGAGGACUGAAGUCAGGAAAGAACCAGACAUGUAAAGAUCAGGAAGCAGAGAAUUCAAGCACAGGGGAGGGAAGUCAAGAUGGCGGCGUAGGCAGACUCUGAACUCACCUCUUCCCGUGGACACAGCCAAUUUACAACUACUCGUGGAAAAAUCACCCCUGAGACAGAACUGAAAACUGGAUGAGAGGAACUCCUGCAACAACGGACAAUCCUAACUGAGGUAGAAGAGGCAGAGACUCCCUUAUGGAGAGGAAAACGCCGCCUUCACCAGCCGCCAGCUUCACGGCCGCCGGGAGCAGCGCACAGGUACGCAGCCUCCCAGGAGGCGCGGGGUCCUGAGCCGG